rnacentral:rRNA from 1 species
UACGUAGGGUGCAAGCGUUAAUCGGAAUUACUGGGCGUAAAGCGUGCGCAGGCGGUUGUGCAAGACAGAUGUGAAAUCCCCCGGGCUCAACCUGGGAAUUGCAUUUGUGACUGCACGGCUAGAGUGUGUCAGAGGGGGGGUAGAAUUCCACGUGUAGCAGUGAAAUGCGUAGAGAUGUGGAGGAACACCGAUGGCGAAGGCAGCCCCCCUGGGUCAAGAUUGACGCUCAUGCACGAAAGCGUGGGGAGCAAACAGG